rnacentral:lncRNA from 1 species
CAUAGGCUCAUUCCCUGCCUUUGGGGUCUGGGCUCCUCCCUGGCCGCUGUGCUCUGGUGGUGCCCUGUUCCCGUGCAUUGCUGCGUCGUCUCCCAGCUUGUAAAACGAUCACCAUCCCCAACCGCAGCCACCAGGCUGGCUCUUCACUGCUGGAGCCCUGGUGCCCUGGCCUGGCCCUUGGCGCAUGUGGGUCAGGUUUACCAAGCAGACUGGGCGUGGCCGGCGCUGGGGUGGUCUUGGU